rnacentral:rRNA from 1 species
UACGGAGGGUGCAAGCGUUAUCCGGAUUCACUGGGUUUAAAGGGUGCGUAGGCGGGCAGGUAAGUCCGUGGUGAAAUCUCUGAGCUUAACUCAGAAACUGCCAUGGAUACUAUUUGUCUUGAAUAUUGUGGAGGUAAGCGGAAUAUGUCAUGUAGCGGUGAAAUGCUUAGAUAUGACAUAGAACACCAAUUGCGAAGGCAGCUCACUACACAAUUAUUGACUCUGAGGCACGAAAGCGUGGGGAUCAAACAGG